GUGAAUCAUCAAAUUUUUGAACGCAUAUUGCACUCUCUGGUAUUCCGGUGAGUAUGCCUGUUUGAGGGUCAUUUGAAAUCAUAUAAAUUUCGAGAUUUUCUUGAAAUCAAAAAUGGGUCGGUCCAGCUUUCGUGUGGUGGUCGCCUAAAGUGCAAGACAAGCUCAUUUAUUGGGCUGCGUGAUACUUUCAGUUACCUUGUGACUUCACAAGUAAUCUUCGAGCGUGUUCAGAAUUGCGCAAGCAGUAAUCGUCAUUUAUCUUGAG
rnacentral:misc_RNA from 1 species